GGCCGCCUGGCGAAAUGGUAUCGCGUCUGACUACGAUAAUCAGGAGAUUGCAGGUUCGAGCCCUGCGGUGGUCA
rnacentral:tRNA from 1 species